CACGUAGUUAGCCGUGGCUUUCUGAUUAGGUACCGUCAAGACGUGCACAGUUACUUACACAUUUGUUCUUCCCUAAUAACAGAGUUUUACGAUCCGAAGACCUUCAUCACUCACGCGGCGUUGCUCCGUCAGGCUUUCGCCCAUUGCGGAAGAUUUCCUACUGCUGCCUCCCGUAGGAGUCUGGACCGUGUCUCAGUUCCAGUGUGGCCGAUCACCCUCUCAGGUCGGCUACGUAUCGUUGCCUUGGUAAGCCAUUACCCCACCAACUAGCUAAUACGGCGCGGGUCCAUCUAUAAGUGAUAGCAAAACCAUCUUUCACUUUAGAACCAUGCGGUUCUAAAUAUUAUCCGGCAUUAGCCCCGGUUUCCCGGAGUUAUUCCAGUCUUAUAGGUAGGUUACCCACGUGUUACUCACCCGUCCGCCGCUAACGUCAAAGGAGCAAGCUCCUUAUCUGUUCGCUCGACUUGCAUGUAUUAGGCACGCCCGCCAGCGUUCAUCCUGAGCCAGGAUCAAACU
rnacentral:rRNA from 1 species